AAGGGCCCGAUGCUGGGAAGGGCCAGGAGAAACCUGGGCCUGGCAGACUUGGGUGCUGACGGGCUGGGGGAGGGGACGCUGGAGAAGCACACUCUCUGGGAGGUCCCAGCUCUUGCUCAACCCAGGAGCCAGCAGGGACCGGUCAGGAAUAGAAAGGAGCGCUUCUGCAUUGAAAGCCUGUCUGUCCUUUCUUGAAGGGCUGCCAUUGACCUCUAAGUCACUGUGUGAUCGUUACUUCAGAUCUACUGUUUACACGCGGAACUGUGAGCCGCCAGAGUCAGAGACUCCACACCAGUGAUUCUGAACCAUCAGAGACUUUUAAAGUGAAGCACACACUAGUGGAUUCUCCUGGUAGCCUUCACCAAGCGAGCAGCCAUGUUGAAGAAGCAGCCUGUAGGACUUAAGGGCAGCCUCCAGCCAACAGCCAGCAAACAGGCAGGCCCUUAGUUACACAGUCCCAGGGAAAUAAAGUCUGCCAACAACCUGGACGAGCUCAGAAGCAGACCCUUCCCCAUUCACGCGUCCAGGUGAGAACACAGCUUGGCUGGCACCUUGACUGCAGCCUUGGGAGACCUUGAAGAGAGGAUUGAGCUGAAUUGUGCCUGGACUCAGACCCAG